UCUUUAGCAGCUUCUCUGAGGUUUGUUCAGACCCCAGGAGGCCUCUUCUUGGCUGUCUUUCUCCCUGGUUCUCCCUGGUGAACCUAUAGCUGGCCUAAGGUUUUGCUUAUUGUUCUUAAUUUAGAGGAGCUAUUAUUUUCAAGAGCUCUCUUAGGCUUGAAUUCUCCCACUCUGUUUCAGAUAAAGUCUGUUCCUUUGGGGGAGAGCUUAGGAGCUCUCUUUCUUGUGGAAUGCUUCUCCUUGGGAAAAAAAUUUUGAGCCACUAUUCUGGACUCUGGGUUGGGCAGUAGCCUCUGGUCUUCUAGGCUCACUGCUUAUAUUUGGAACCUGUGUCUUGUGAUCAAACUGGGGCAAGAGCCAUCAGGACUGCAGUAUUCUCAGCCUGCUGUGGCCAGUGUAGCCCCUCAAUCCUCUGAGUGGGGACUGGCUGGAGAAAAGAAGCCCCUGACCUCUUGGCCUCACUCACUAAGACUUUAGCCUCUUCAAUUUGGAAUUGGAGGAUGAGAAAUACUGGUGUCCUGCCCUUACUGGUAAGGUAUGGGUAACCAAUAAUUGGGAGCUGAGGGGAGAAGGAGCCACAUCUUCCUGGUGAUACCUACCUGGAGUGGACUAACAUCAAAAGGAGCUGGAGAGGAGCUGAGAAAACUUACCCCAGAGAUGCCAAGUGGACAUGCAUCUCAUUGAUAUGGGGAAUAUCGACUGGGGAAUGCCCAUUCCUAAACCAGUCACUGGAAGGGUAAUGAGAUUUACUGUGACCAGGAAGCAGCACCACCGUCCAACCAGAUACUAUGGGCAAAAUCUAUAGAGCCAUCACUGAUUGCUGUCCUUCCCUCAUGAUCUCACGGUCAUUCAAGUUUUCCCAGCUGAGGCCUCAGACGAUGACAUCGUAGAUCAGAGAGGAGCCAUCCGCCCUCUGCCCUGUCUGAAUUCUAACUCUACAACAGGAUGCCUGAGCGUGAUCAAAUGGUCAUUGUUCCAGGACGCUGAGUUAUGGAGUGGUAGAGGACCAGAACGCAUUCUGUUCACUUAUUCUUCAUCUAAGCACAUCCUCUAUUUCACCAGUACUUCACUUUCCAUAUUCCAUUCCAUUUUUAUUUUUAGUCGCUGUCUAUUCCAUCCUUCCUAACUCUGUAUUCUAUAUUUCAUUCCAAGUUUCAAUUCCAUUUGUUUCUAUUCCAUCCUGGUACUUUUAAAUCUAUAUAGUGCAAAUUUCAUAGUCCAUUGAUUUCAUGACAUUGCAUAUUCUAUUCCAUAGGUUUCCUCCUAUUUAAUAUUUUAUUUCACUGUAUAUUCCACUCCAUUCCUUUUUUCACAUAACAGUACUUGUAUAUUUUUUAUUCCACAUGCCAUCAGAUAUUUAUUUCCAUUCCCCUUUCCAUUUUCCCUUUAUAUUCCAUUCAAUUUACAUCCUGUUCAAUUUUCCAUUCCAUAUCCUGUUCAAGUCUGUAUUCCAUCCCCCAUUUCAUUCCAGUUUCCACUGCAAGUAGUCUCCACUUCAUCCCGUUCUACAUUCUAUUUCAAAUCCAUUUUCCAUUCCAUAUUAUUUAACACUCCAAAUACCAUUCCAUUCUGUUUUGCAUUGUGUUUCACUCCAGUUGCUCAUCCAGCCCAGUAAGCAAGCAUCCCAUUCCAUUGGGCCGAAAUUGUUAUAACAGUGACUUUCAGGAGAAUAUCUUGCUAAUAUUUUAAUCAAAGAAUUACAAAUGUGUACGGCCUGUGCCAAGAACUUCCUCAUCUGGGAGUUUAUCCAUAGCAAGGACACGAUUGAGGAUAUGAACAAUUUUUAGUAAGAAGGAUGUGCCUCUCAGUGAUGUGUUACAGAGAGUGAGAAGUUGGAAAUGAUGUGAAUGUUGGUUGAGAUUGGAAUAUUUGAAGAUGUAAGCCUCUUGUAUAAAUGGAAUAGUUUGUACUUCAAAAUGGCCUUGUGGAAGUUUACUCAUUGACAGGGAAUGAGUGUUUUCUGGACCCCAAAUAGCAGGUUACCAAGCAGUAUCUAUGGAUAAGUGAUUCCAUCUCAUCAAAUAAAAUCAAUCAUGAAAUAUG